rnacentral:rRNA from 1 species
UACGUAGGGGGCAAGCGUUGUCCGGAUUUAUUGGGCGUAAAGAGCUCGUAGGCGGUUUGGUAAGUCUGGUGUGAAAUCUCCACGCUCAACGUGGAGGGGCCACCCGAUACUGCCAUGACUGGAGUCCGGUAGAGGAGUGUGGAAUUCCCGGUGUAGCGGUGAAAUGCGCAGAUAUCGGGAGGAACACCAGUGGCGAAGGCGGCGACCUGGGCCAAUAUUGACGCUGAGGUGCGAAAGCGUGGGGAGCGAACAGG